rnacentral:rRNA from 1 species
UACGGAGGGUGCAAGCGUUAAUCGGAAUUACUGGGCGUAAAGCGCACGCAGGCGGUCUGUCAAGUCGGAUGUGAAAUCCCCGUGCUCAACCUGGGAACUGCAUUCGAAACUGGCAGGCUAGAGUCUUGUAGAGGGGGGUAGAAUUCCAGGUGUAGCGGUGAAAUGCGUAGAGAUCUGGAGGAAUACCGGUGGCGAAGGCGGCCCCCUGGACAAAGACUGACGCUCAGGUGCGAAAGCGUGGGGAGCAAACAGG